CCUACGGGUGGCAGCAGUGAGGAAUAUUGGUCAAUGGGCGUAAGCCUGAACCAGCCAAGUCGCGUGAGGGAUGAAGGUUCUAUGGAUCGUAAACCUCUUUUAUAGGGGAAUAAAGUGCGGGACGUGUGACUCAUUGUAUGUACCUAAUGAAUAAGCAUCGGCUAACCCCGUGCCAGCAGCCGCGGUAAUACGGAGGAUGCGAGCGUUAUCCGGAUUUAUUGGGGUUAAAGGGUGCGUAGGCGGCCUUUCAAGUCAGCGGUGAAAGUCGGGGGCUCAACCAUGGAAUUGCCGUUGAAACUGGGAGGCUUGAGUGUGUGUGAGGCAGGCGGAAUGCGUGGUGUAGCGGUGAAAUGCUUAGAUAUCACGCAGAACCCCGAUUGCGAAGGCAGCCUGCCAAGCCAUGACUGACGCUGAUGCACGAAAGCGUGGGGAUCAAACAGGAUUAGAUACCCGUGUAGUC
rnacentral:rRNA from 1 species